rnacentral:rRNA from 1 species
AAUACGGAGGAUGCGAGCGUUAUCCGGAUUUAUUGGGUUUAAAGGGUGCGUAGGCGGCACGCCAAGUCAGCGGUGAAAUUUUCGGGCUCAACCCGGACUGUGCCGUUGAAACUGGCGAGCUAGAGUGCACAAGAGGCAGGCGGAAUGCGUGGUGUAGCGGUGAAAUGCAUAGAUAUCACGCAGAACCCCGAUUGCGAAGGCAGCCUGCUAGGGUGCGACAGACGCUGAGGCACGAAAGCGUGGGUAUCGAACAGGAUUAGAUACCCUGGUAGUCCACGCAGUAAACGAUGAAUACUAACUGUUUGCGAUACAAUGUAAGCGGUACAGCGAAAGCGUUAAGUAUUCCACCUGGGGAGUACGCCGGCAACGGUGAAACUCAAAGGAAUUGACGGGGGCCCGCACAAGCGGAGGAACAUGUGGUUUAAUUCGAUGAUACGCGAGGAACCUUACCCGGGCUCAAACGCAGGGGGAAUGCCGGUGAAAGUCGGCAGCUAGUAAUAGUCACCUGCGAGGUGCUGCAUGGUUGUCGUCAGCUCGUGCCGUGAGGUGUCGGCUUAAGUGCCAUAACGAGCGCAACCCCUAUCGACAGUUACUAACGGGUCAAGCCGAGGACUCUGUCGAGACUGCCGGCGCAAGCCGCGAGGAAGGUGGGGAUGACGUCAAAUCAGCACGGCCCUUACGUCCGGGGCGACACACGUGUUACAAUGGCAGGUACAGAAGGCAGCCAGUCAGCAAUGACGCGCGAAUCCCGAAAACCUGUCUCAGUUCGGAUUGGAGUCUGCAACCCGACUCCAUGAAGCUGGAUUCGCUAGUAAUCGCGCAUCAGCCAUGGCGCGGUGAAUACGUUCCCGGGCC